GAUGAACGCUAGCUACAGGCUUAACACAUGCAAGUCGAGGGGAAACGAUAUUGGAAGCUUGCUUCCGAUAGGCGUCGACCGGCGCACGGGUGAGUAACGCGUAUCCGACCUGCCCACCACUUGGGGAUAACCUUGCGAAAGUAAGACUAAUACCCAAUGAUAUCUCUAGAAGACAUCUGAAAGAGAUUAAAGAUUUAUCGGUGAUGGAUGGGGAUGCGUCUGAUUAGCUUGUUGGCGGGGUAACGGCCCACCAAGGCGACGAUCAGUAGGGGUUCUGAGAGGAAGGUCCCCCACAUUGGAACUGAGACACGGUCCAAACUCCUACGGGAGGCAGCAGUGAGGAAUAUUGGUCAAUGGACGAGAGUCUGAACCAGCCAAGUAGCGUGCAGGAUGACGGCCCUAUGGGUUGUAAACUGCUUUUAUAAGGGAAUAAAGUGAGCCUCGUGAGGCUUUUUGCAUGUACCUUAUGAAUAAGGACCGGCUAAUUCCGUGCCAGCCGCCGCUGUAA
rnacentral:rRNA from 1 species